AAGUAAUCGUCUGCUGCUGUACCGUGGUGUAGGCGAGUCUAUGCUUAUAACACAUUUCACGUGAAAUCUUGAAUGAAUCCAAUAAGAAGUAAUCAUUCGAAUGGCUAUAAUAGAAGUUCUCUAUUGUUUUUCCAUGAAGUCUGAGUUGGCAAAGUUCUAAUGCACAAUUGCACGUGGUUUGAUCCUCCUUAUCAACGAAGCUGCUUGUGUGAUUGCUGUUUUAAUUUUUGGAGGUAUUCUCAUCAUCUCUCUGAGCCGACAAUCCAACGUCAGUCAACUCUUUUUCGACUUUCCCUUUUUACUGUGUCCUCGUGUACAUUCAUGCGAAGGUGAGUGUAUUCACGAGGACUUUCUUUCCUUCCGCUUUUCCUACCUGACAUUGGGACUUUUCCAUCUAUCCACGUUCGACUUCCUCAUCCAUUUAAGAUGGAAUAUUACUCACGUUACCAGUGCUCCUUCGUCAAACUAUUUCUACAACUUCAAGUUCAAACUACUUCGUCGCCAUCAAAUGAAAAUAUCGAGAAAAGGCUAUUGUCGAUUACAUUUCCAGCAGCUUUGGGCGAUGGUUCUAAACGAUUUCAAGAAAAAGUGUUGCGAAACGAACCACCUCCUUCCAGUCUUGUCCAGCCAGAAAACGUCCGAUUGCUGGAAGUGACUCGAGUCGCCUGUACCGCAAUUUCAAGGUAGGAUGGCAUUUUUGAUUUUUACUUUUUCAUCGGGUGUUAUUACAGCAAAAUUGUAAAUCGCUAAGGUUUUUCCGCUUUCCAACCUGAUAAGUCCGUAGACUUGAACAACUUUAGCAUUUUUAUGACAAGGCAAUUAACAUCUGUUGCCAACAAACGAAGCGAACCAUUUUGAGCUUUUUCUUAUAUUCUCGCCGUUCAUUUGAUUAGGCCAAUUUUUUAAAUUUUCUCGUGGAAAUGUGUCACAAUUUACGCGUUACAAAACGAUCGUGUCUAACCGCCAGGGGGAAAUGAAUUAAAGAAAAGAUGAGCUGGUUUGUCUAUUAUUCUUCAUGUUUUCUGAUGAAAUAUGGACAGUUUUGUUGUGAACUUUUCCCAUGAGAAAAUGUCCCAACUAUUUUUUUAUUGAUUGAAAUCGAUUUUGAAUCAGUGUGACUCGUGGGUAUUUCCCUGGUGGGUACAGCUGCUGCCCAGUCAUUUUUUAUCCAGUUUGCAUGUCGGGUCCGAUAACAAGCUGUUUUUCUGUCAGAAUCUUUUUUGUUGGGCAGGAUGAGCAGGCCACUGAUAUUGAUCCUGUGCGAAAUCGUUUUCCCAGGAAAGCAGCCUGUUGUUCAAUUAGUAAGGAACAGGAUUUAUCAAGGAGCAUCCUUGAUUGAAGCUGAAUGGAGAGAGACGGAAAGACAAACCUUUUUCUCUUGAGUCUUGAUACGCUGAAAUAGGAGAUUGGCAGGUCUGGUCCACAUUCUGAUUGAUUGAACUCUUAACAGGACCCCCGGUGAAAACUCGUCCAGUUUGGUCUUUCUUUUUCUUUUCUUUUUUAUUGACUAAACCCCGUGCCAUCGAAUCGCCGUUUUAUCUGCUCGAUUUGGGUUAACUGACAGAUGGCGUUCGAGAGAAUGAGUUGCCAUUAUCCUAUUAUUGUUGGGCUGUGUGACUGUUUACGCUU